rnacentral:rRNA from 1 species
CAGGCUUAACACAUGCAAGUCGAGGGGCAGCAUGGUCUUAGCUUGCUAAGGCCGAUGGCGACCGGCGCACGGGUGAGUAACACGUAUCCAACCUGCCGUCUACUCUUGGACAGCCUUCUGAAAGGAAGAUUAAUACAAGAUGGCAUCAUGAGUCCGCAUGUUCACAUGAUUAAAGGUAUUCCGGUAGACGAUGGGGAUGCGUUCCAUUAGAUAGUAGGCGGGGUAACGGCCCACCUAGUCUUCGAUGGAUAGGGGUUCUGAGAGGAAGGUCCCCCACAUUGGAACUGAGACACGGUCCAAACUCCUACGGGAGGCAGCAGUGAGGAAUAUUGGUCAAUGGGCGAGAGCCUGAACCAGCCAAGUAGCGUGAAGGAUGACUGCCCUAUGGGUUGUAAACUUCUUUUAUAAAGGAAUAAAGUCGGGUAUGGAUACCCGUUUGCAUGUACUUUAUGAAUAAGGAUCGGCUAACUCCGUGCCAGCAGCCGCGGUAAUACGGAGGAUCCGAGCGUUAUCCGGAUUUAUUGGGUUUAAAGGGAGCGUAGAUGGAUGUUUAAGUCAGUUGUGAAAGUUUGCGGCUCAACCGUAAAAUUGCAGUUGAUACUGGAUAUCUUGAGUGCAGUUGAGGCAGGCGGAAUUCGUGGUGUAGCGGUGAAAUGCUUAGAUAUCACGAAGAACUCCGAUUGCGAAGGCAGCCUGCUAAGCUGCAACUGACAUUGAGGCUCGAAAGUGUGGGUAUCAAACAGGAUUAGAUACCCUGGUAGUCCACACGGUAAACGAUGAAUACUCGCUGUUUGCGAUAUACUGCAAGCGGCCAAGCGAAAGCGUUAAGUAUUCCACCUGGGGAGUACGCCGGCAACGGUGAAACUCAAAGGAAUUGACGGGGGCCCGCACAAGCGGAAGAACAUGUGGUUUAAUUCGAUGAUACGCGAGGAACCUUACCCGGGCUUAAAUUGCAGAUGAAUUACGGUGAAAGCCGUAAGCCGCAAGGCAUCUGUGAAGGUGCUGCAUGGUUGUCGUCAGCUCGUGCCGUGAGGUGUCGGCUUAAGUGCCAUAACGAGCGCAACCCUUGUUGUCAGUUACUAACAGGUUCCGCUGAGGACUCUGACAAGACUGCCAUCGUAAGAUGUGAGGAAGGUGGGGAUGACGUCAAAUCAGCACGGCCCUUACGUCCGGGGCUACACACGUGUUACAAUGGGGGGUACAGAGGGCCGCUACCACGCGAGUGGAUGCCAAUCCCAAAAACCUCUCUCAGUUCGGACUGGAGUCUGCAACCCGACUCCACGAAGCUGGAUUCGCUAGUAAUCGCGCAUCAGCCACGGCGCGGUGAAUACGUUCCCGGGCCUUGUACACACCGCCCGUCAAGCCAUGGGAGCCGGGGGUACCUGAAGUGCGUAACCGCGAGGAGCGCCCUAGGGUAAAACUGGUGACUGGGGCUAAGU